rnacentral:tRNA from 1 species
GGAGGGUAUAGCUCAGUGGUAGAGCGUGUGCUUAGCAUGCACAAGGUCCUGGGUUCAAUCCCCAGUAUCUCCA